rnacentral:rRNA from 1 species
GACGAACGCUGGCGGCGUGCCUAAUACAUGCAAGUUGAGCGCUGAAGGUUGGUACUUGCCCCAACUGGAUGAGCAGCGAACGGGUGAGUAACGCGUGGGGAAUCUGCCUUUGAGCGGGGGACAACAUUUGGAAACGAAUGCUAAUACCGCAUAAAAACUUUAAACACAAGUUUUAAGUUUGAAAGAUGCAAUUGCAUCACUCAAAGAUGAUCCCGCGUUGUAUUAGCUAGUUGGUGAGGUAAAGGCUCACCAAGGCGAUGAUACAUAGCCGACCUGAGAGGGUGAUCGGCCACAUUGGGACUGAGACACGGCCCAAACUCCUACGGGAGGCAGCAGUAGGGAAUCUUCGGCAAUGGACGAAAGUCUGACCGAGCAACGCCGCGUGAGUGAAGAAGGUUUUCGGAUCGUAAAACUCUGUUGGUAGAGAAGAACGUUGGUGAGAGUGGAAAGCUCAUCAAGUGACGGUAACUACCCAGAAAGGGACGGCUAACUACGUG